GAAGGUAUAGCUCAGUGGUACAGUGCGUGCUCAGCAUGCACAAGGUCCUGAGUUCAACCCCAAGUACCUCCA
rnacentral:tRNA from 1 species